rnacentral:siRNA from 1 species
UAUUUGGAUCGACAAGGCCAGAUC